rnacentral:rRNA from 1 species
UACGGGGGGGGCAAGCGUUGUUCGGAAUUACUGGGCGUAAAGGGCUCGUAGGUGGCCAACUAAGUCAGACGUGAAAUCCCUCGGCUUAACCAAGGAAGUGCAUCCGAAACUGCAGUGCUUGAGUACUUAAGAGGAUCGCGGAAUUCCCGGUGUAGAGGUGAAAUUCGUAGAUAUCGGGAGGAGCACCAGUGGCGAAGGCGACUUCCUGGCCUGUUCUUGACGCUGAGGCGCGAAAGCGUGGGGAGCGAACAGG